rnacentral:rRNA from 1 species
CAGUCGCCGCGGUAAUACGUAGGGUGCAAGCGUUAAUCGGAAUUACUGGGCGUAAAGCGUGCGCAGGCGGUUCGUUAAGACAGAUGUGAAAUCCCCGGGCUUAACCUGGGAACCGCAUUUGUGACUGGCGGGCUAGAGUAUGGCAGAGGGGGGUAGAAUUCCACGUGUAGCAGUGAAAUGCGUAGAGAUGUGGAGGAAUACCGAUGGCGAAGGCAGCCCCCCUGGGCCAAUACUGACGCUCAUGCACGAAAGCGUGGGGAGCAAACAGGAUUAGAUACCCCAGUAGUCCCUGUCUCUUAUA